CGCGUAGGCGGUUUCUUAAGUCAGGUGUUAAAGACCACGGCUCACCCGUGGGGCUGCGCCUGAUACUGAGGGACUGGAGUGCAGCAGAGGCAAGCGGAAUUUCCCGGUGUAGCGGUGAAAUGCAUAGAUAUCGGGAGGAACACCAGUGGCGAAGGCGGCUUGCUGGGCUGUAACUGACGCUGAGGCGCGAAAGCCAGGGGAGCGAACG
rnacentral:rRNA from 1 species